rnacentral:rRNA from 1 species
UCAGGAUGAACGCUGGCGGCGUGCCUAACACAUGCAAGUCGAACGGGCCUAUGUCCAAAGCUUCGGCAGAGGGACAUAGGUUAGUGGCGGACGGGUGAGUAACGCGUGGAGAACCUGCCCUGUACUGGGGGAUAACAGUGAGAAAUCACUGCUAAUACCGCAUAAGCGCACGGUACCGCAUGGUACAGUGUGAAAAACUCCGGUGGUACAGGAUGGCUCCGCGUUGGAUUAGCCAGUUGGCGGGGUAACGGCCCACCAAAGCGACGGUCCAUAGCCGGCCUGAGAGGGUGAACGGCCACAUUGGGACUGAGACACGGCCCAGACUCCUACGGGAGGCAGCAGUGGGGAAUAUUGCACAAUGGGGGGAACCCUGAUGCCAGCGACGCCGCGUGAAGGAUGAAGUAUCUCGGUAUGUAAACUUCUAUCAGCAGGGAAGAUAAUGACGGUACCUGACUAAGAAGCCCCGGCUAACUACGUGCCAGCCGCCGC